UUAAGGUUAUUCUUUGGUAAACUUUUUUUUUAGACCAUUCAUAUUACUUAAGAUGUAUUUUUGUAAAAAUAUACAAUUAUUAUUAUUUUUUUACAUAGGGGUACUAUUUUUAGCUUUAAUGUGGUAUAAAAUCUGCAAUGUUAUCUAGACUAAUUUAAUCCUUAAUUGUAUGCAUUGCACUUUCAUUUAUAUGAUUUAUUUAGAUUUUGAAGUGUAGAGAUAAAAUUGUGUAGUAUCCUUCACAGAAACUAAAAGGUGGUUACUAAGUUUGAUGAUAAAUUACAUUUUUUGGAUUAAUUUGUAAAAUGAAUUAAAUUCAACAUCAAUUUAUUUGUUUUACAUUUA
rnacentral:lncRNA from 1 species